rnacentral:rRNA from 1 species
UACGAGGGGGGCAAAUGUUGUUCGGAAUCACUGGGCGUAAAGGGAGCGUAGGCGGGUCUCUAAGUCAGGUGUUUAAUCCCGGGGCCCAACCCCGAACAGGCACUUGAAACUGGGAAUCUUGAAUAGUGGAGAGGUCAGUGGAAUUGGGGGUGUAGCGGUGGAAUGCGUAGAGAUCCCCAAGAACACCAGUUGCGAAGGCGGCUGACUGGACACAUAUUGACGCUGAGGCUCGAAAGCAUGGGGAGCAAACAGG